AGUGAACGCUGGCGGUAGGCCUAACACAUGCAAGUCGAACGGCAGCACAGUAAGAGCUUGCUCUUACGGGUGGCGAGUGGCGGACGGGUGAGGAAUACAUCGGAAUCUACUUUUUCGUGGGGGAUAACGACGGGAAACUUACGCUAAUACCGCAUACGACCUCCGGGUGAAAGCAGGGGAUCUUCGGACCUUGCGCGAUUGAUUGAGCCGUUGUCGGAUUAGCUAGUUGGCGGGGUAAAGGCCCACCAAGGCGACGAUCCGUAGCUGGUCUGAGAGGAUGAUCAGCCACACUGGGACUGAGACACGGUCCAGACUCCUACGGGAGGCAGAAGUGGGGAAUAUUGGCAAAUGGGCGGAAGCUUGAUCCAGCCAUGCCGCGUGGGUGAAGAAGGCCUUCGGGUUGUAAAGCCCUUUUGUUGGGAAAGAAAAGCAGCAGGUUAAUACCCCGCUGUUCUGACGGUACCCAAAGAAUAAGCACCGGCUAACUUCGUG
rnacentral:rRNA from 1 species